rnacentral:rRNA from 1 species
GAUUUCUGGUUGAUCGGUCUGGCCCGCAUGCUUCGGUGUGUGAGUGCUGGAGUGUUUUAACCAUCCUUCUAGGGUGCCAUAUCUACUCUUUACUGAGCUGGGUAUGUGUGUUCUAGAUCGUUUACUUUGAAAAAAUUAGAGUGUUUAAAGCAGGCUGACGCUGUGAAUACAUUAGCAUGGAAUAAUAAUAUAGGACUUCGGUUUUAUUUUGUUGGUUUCUAGAGCUGAAGUAAUGAUUGAUAGGGAUAGUUGGGGGUGCUAGUAUUCCGUGGCCAGAGGUGAAAUUCUUGGAUUCACGGAAGACUAACUACUGCGAAAGCAUU